UCUUACCAGGACCAGCUCCCCGUCGUUGGUCAGCUCCCUGGUCCAGGAGGUCUUGGGGCCGUCUCCCUUCAAAAGCCUCUGCUCGCAGACCAUUUUGUUCUCGCUCUCCCACUUCACCAGGCUCUGCAAGACAGAGGCCAAGUGAGUGGGGCUCGCAGCGAGGACGAUGCAGCCAGAGGGACUUCAUCCCCUGGGAGCAGAGCCACGAAUCCUGGAGAAGACUGGAAAAUGGCCUUUGGGAGAUUGGGAGGCUGGGAAACCGAAGAAAAAGCCAGCGCUGAGGCUCAGACCAAGUUGCCUGCAUCAGACCCUUGCUGGCCCGGCCUCUAGAAAGUAGAGAGCGGGAGAGCAGAGGUCUCCCCCUGGAGCCCCGGGAGCCCCCUUCUUGGCUGUUGAUCUCAUGGGUCCAGGGAGAAGUGACCAGGAUUCCCAGAUCCAGUGGCCUUGGCAGAGGAGACACAUCUCAUCCCAUCCUCACCUGGAAGUCACCUCACCAUCUAACAUUCACCCUUCCUGCUACAGGAGCAGAACCUGCUCACACACUCUGCCUAGCACAGUGGCAGGGCCUGAGGAGGGCACGUGGCUCUGAGAGACCCCGCAGGGAGGACAAACAGGCCAAAGACAGACAGACAACAGGGCCAGGCUUUGGCUCUUAUUCUGCAGCUGGGCCUUCGGGUGUGCCCAGCCACCUCCUGCUUCAUCCACUGGAGAGGGGCCAGAAUCCAGGGAUGGGGAAAGGAACACGUUUGGUUUUUUGGGUUUUUUGCUUUGUUUUGUUUUGUUUUUGUUUUUUAAUUGCAGCAAAGGCAGAGCGGGAAAGACAGACAGGGUUUGAAGACGUAUGGUGGUUUAGACGCAAGAAUUAAUGGCAAGGAAUGAUGGAAACACAGCAUUCCAGACCCUUCCCGGGUCUGGACUUACUCCUACACCCUGCCCUGCAUGGGCUGUGACCUCCAUCUCCCCCUACCUAAGGAGGGGGUCACCGUGUUCAGCCCCAGAGAUCCAGGGCAUGCUUACCCUCUGGCUGCUCAGCUCCCGGGGGGCUUCCCAAUUGCUGAGGUCCUUAAGCAACCUCCCUCUCUUCCCAGAGCCUCUCCCCACACACCAGCGGGCACACAGGAGUUGGGAAAGGCAGAGUAGACUUAGCUUCCCCCACUUUUAACCAAUACACCCAGCAGGGCUGCAGCUUCAGGGAGGGAGGGAGAAGAGAACUGGCAUUUUCGGAAAUGGGGGGUUGGGGUUUCACACGAAGCCAUUUGUUGAAAUCUAAGAAAGUGAUAAUUAUCCAGAAUGAUUUAGGACGCUGGAACUGCCCGCUGUAGGAAAAUAUUUGUGUCACAGAUGGA